UAGGGUGCCUGAAAAUAUGCUCGGCCAUCCUAUAUUUUUAAUAGCAUAUUAUAUCGGAGAUAAGAUAAUGGCAUUAACUGCAGAAUCAAAAGCAGCAUUGGUAAAAGAGUUUCAAGUAGCUGAA
rfam:Marinomonas sp. S3726 contig0009, whole genome shotgun sequence.